rnacentral:rRNA from 1 species
CCUACGGGUGGCUGCAGUGAGGAAUAUUGGUCAAUGGACGCAAGCCUGAACCAGCCAAGUAGCGUGCAGGAUGACGGCCCUAUGGGUUGUAAACUGCUUUUGUAAGGGGGUAAACUCAGACACGCGUAUCUGUCUGUAAGUACUUUAUGAAUAAGGAUCGGCUAACUCCGUGCCAGCAGCCGCGGUAAUACGGAGGAUUCGAGCGUUAAUCGGAUUUAUUGGGUUUAAAGGGUGCGUAGGCGGUAGGAUAAGUUAAGGGUGAAAUCCCGAGGCUCAACGUCGGAAUUGCCUCUGAAACUGUGAGGCUAGAGAGUAGGUGAGGAAGGCGGAAUGUAUGGUGUAGCGGUGAAAUGCGUAGAGAUCAGACGGAACACCGAUUGCGAAGGCGACUAACCA